rnacentral:tRNA from 1 species
AAAAAAAUGGCUAAAGGUAAAGCUGCGAAAAUUCCAAAUUUUCGAACUUUAUGUCCUGUGUUCACAUUCUUACCUUUGUUC